UACGUAGGUCCCGAGCGUUGUCCGGAAUUACUGGGUGUAAAGGGUGCGCAGGCGGUCUUGUGCGUCAGAAGUGAAAUAUCACGGCUUAACCGUGAGGGUGCUUUUUUGAAACGGCGAGACUUGAGUACGGGAGAGGAUGAUGGAAUUCCUGGUGUAGCGGUGAAAUGCGCAGAUAUCAGGAGGAACACCGGUGGCGAAGGCGGGUCUCUGGGCCGAAACUGACGCUGAGGAGCGAAAGCGUGGGGAGCAAACAGG
rnacentral:rRNA from 1 species